CAAUAGCGUAUAUUUAAGUUGUUGCAGUUAAAAAGCUCGUAGUUGGAUUUCGGAUGGGAUUUGCCGGUCCGUCGUUACGAUGUGCACUGGCCAGUCCUAUCUUGUUGUCGGGGACUAGCUCCUUGGAUUCACUUCCUGGGACUAGGAGCUGACGAGGUUACUUUGAGUAAAUUAGAGUGUUCAAAGCAAGCCUACGCUCUGAAUACAUUAGCAUGGAAUAACACGAUAGGACUCUGGCUUAUCUUGUUGGUCUGUGAGACCAGAGUAAUGAUUAAGAGGGACAGUCGGGGACAUUCGUAUUUCAUUGUCAGAGGUGAAAUUCUCGGAUUUAUGAAAGACGAACUUCUGCGAAAGCAUUUGUCAAGGAUGUUUUCAUUAA
rnacentral:rRNA from 1 species